rnacentral:rRNA from 1 species
UACGAAGGGGGCUAGCGUUGCUCGGAAUCACUGGGCGUAAAGGGCGCGUAGGCGGCCGUUUAAGUUGGGGGUGAAAGCCUGUGGCUCAACCACAGAAUUGCCUUCGAUACUGGACGGCUUGAGUAUGGUAGAGGUUGGUGGAACUGCGAGUGUAGAGGUGAAAUUCGUAGAUAUUCGCAAGAACACCGGUGGCGAAGGCGGCCAACUGGACCAUUACUGACGCUGAGGCGCGAAAAGCGUGGGGGAGCAAACAGG